AUGACAACCACAUCUGUUGUUGUGAGGACUACAUCACCUCCACCAUAUGACACAUCACCCCCGAGAGCGCCUAUAUUAUCUGAGUUGAUCAUAAGUGGCAAUGACAAAGCCACAUUUCAGAUUAAGCAACGCCGAGGACGACUUUGUUUUCAAGAAGGGGAGGAUGAUGAGGACAUGGCCACCACAGUUACACCCAUAUCCCCUGCUGUUUUUCCUCUUGGAACAAUUGCUAGUUCUCAGAUAUGCCAAUUAAAUUAUCAGGUACUUUCGUUUCUUGGUAAUGUUUCUAGUGUUCAUGAGAAUAUGAUGCUGCCUAACUUAGAUACAUUUGUUUUGCUUGCAAUUGAAGGGCCUAGCACGGACAAAAAGGAUGAACAUUGGAGCCUGGUCAAGCACGGAGAUGAAGGUGCAUGCGAAGAGAACAAUAACAGAGGUUCAAGUGGAGAUUUCCGGACUUUGAAGCCAUCAUGA
rnacentral:rRNA from 1 species